ensembl:lncRNA
GUGAGUGCUAUUCCAAAAUGGAGCUGCAUCUGGCUUUUGCUGCAGUGGUGCAGGAGGCAAUUCUGAAUGGAGCUCUGUUUGUUUGCUGCUUGAGACAGGGUUGUCGUUUGUUGGGUCUUGUGUUUUUUGUCAGAGAAUGUAAGCUGAGCAUGAGGGAAACUCCAGGCAGCCUGAGGGGGCUGGGCUGGAGGAGAAUGUUUUGCACCUUUCCCAUGCGUAACAGCCUAACACAGGCAUGUGGAGGAGGAGGAGGAAAAGGAGAAAUAGAAGUGAAGUCUCUCUCAGGAUAUAAAUGGCCAACACAACCCUAACGCUUCAUAUUCUGAUACUGUAUAGUGCUGUCACUCAGGGACCUUUAGGAACUAGGACCUUGGGACUGUAAUCCUACCUGUUCCCCUCCUAUCCCCCCUUCACCUUCAGUAUUGAAAACUGAAGAGAGAAAGAGCAGAAGAGGAAAAUAAGAGCCCUGGUAGCAAACCCCCUGCUAUUCCAUGGGUGAAAGUAAAGCUUUGGUUACUAAGAUAAAAGGAAAAUGUAUACCUUUAUAUUCGUGUCUUCAAGCAUAAACCAGCCCAUAGUGUAUAUAGGAUAAGUUCACAGUGCAUGAAACAAACAGGACUAUAGGUCUUAACUGGCAUCCAGCUUUCUUGCAUGCACAUCUGACACCAUGCCAGCAGCUUAUGUCUUGCAAAUAAGUAGGGAACCUGCCAAGGCUUGGCGCUUCCUCUGUCCAAUGGACAGCACAUCCACUUCCCAGAAACAGAGCCGUGUGAGGGCCUGAUUGGGCCGGUCUGUUUGACCAGAUCUGCUCCAGAGGCUCUGGCGUGAGGAGAUAAGGGGUGGGGGAGGGAGUUGGUUUUGUUUUCCUUUUUAUGGGGCGGGUGAAAGGGUUUUAAAUCUCUGAACUGUUAUCAAGCCGAAGUGAAACCUCUGGAGCUGUGCAGACCAAAGGACAGUAAUUAGUAAAAUCCUAGUGGAGAGGAUGGGAUGAGGUAGAACGAGCUAGAACUUCAGAGAUGAUUAGGAGAGAGCUAGUGGAAAUAUACGUGCACUAUAAUAGGUUUGAAAAGCCUAGAGCAUUGGAAAAUGGGGACCUGCAGUGAGCCAGAUGGGCUGGGUGCAGCUGCAGGCAGCACUCAAGGAAACCCAGCCAUGGCAGCAGUCCCUGGUGGGCAGAGACCACAGACUCUGGAAGAUGGUGAGGUUGGGAACUGGGAAAUAGAGGGAGACUCGUGGCGCUCUGCCUUCAGAAUGAGCUUAGUCCCUCUAGGCAGGGACAAUCAUUUGCAUCUGGACAAUGUUGCAGGAGCUAAGCUGGGAUAUGCAGAGGAGCUACCACUGUCCCAAGCCGGGGCAAUGGCUGGGCUCUGCCCUGAUGUCAGAGAUAAGAGAUAACCAGGCAAGAAAUGCUGUGCAGGUUACCAAACGCUUUAUUGGAAAUGAGACUGGGCUUACCAAGCAGGGUGGGAUGUCUUUGCAACCGUCAUGGAAACUGGGUUGGGGGCAUGGGUUGGGCAAGAGAUGUGAAACCUAUGUGUUGGACACAGUACCUAACGCAGAUGCUGGGAGGGAGGGAGGAAGGGUGGGAGAGAGGGAGGGAGGGGAGUGGAGACUGGGUACAAGAAGAUGUAUAUAGCGUUGGGGCUUGGUUUUUAUUCUUUUUCAUUUGGUUUUAUUUUGGUUGGUUGGUUGGUUGAUUUUGUUGAGGUUUUUUGUUGGUUUGUUUUUUUUUUUUUAAUUUUUAAAUAAAUGUUUGAUUUCUAAUGUCUUGAUGUAAACCAAAUAAAAAUGGUUCUGUACAUUCAGAAGAACAGCUGAAAGGUGACAAGCGUAAUAAAGAAGCACUGUCCUCCAGGCUGAUACAACAAUACCAUUUCCCAGACUUUCCCACAGGGAUUGGAGGGUGAAUCUGUGCCUGUGCCUGCCCACCAAAAUGGUGACCUUAGGGCUGGCUCCCUGAUCCACCUCCAAGUCCAGUGAAGAGGUGGGCAGUAGAGGAGGAAGUCAUGUUGUAUAAGUAACUAUUCAGUGUUUGAUCCCACCAUCCGUGAGGUCAAUGAGAGGAGGCUGUGUAUUAGAUCCUGAUCCCUUGCACAUUUGGCCUCUUCCUGGAGAGCCAAACUGUACUAUGCCUUACUGUAUCUUGGGAUGUAGUAGUGAAGGGAUGAAAAUGAUAUCAGGUAUCACUUGCAUAAAUAUAGUAAUGCAUGUGGAGUAAAGGCUGUAUGAGCCUGAACAGUCUUGGAGAAGCUGCUGUUGCUGAUGCUGCUUUCUGCCUUGUGAUUUGGUCUAGGGUGACAAGUGUUAGGAAAUGCCCAGCUGCUGAGAAGAGUUAUCAAGGAAGCCUUCAAUGUUGACAGACUUCUCUUAAGAGCCUUUGCAUUUCAAUAGACCUUUGUCUGCAAGUUCCUGGCUGUUUGGGAAGAGAUGGAAAAGAUGGAUUUAGAAGACAGUGCAAAGCAGAGACCUUGAGUUAAGCUUAGCUAUCUGUUUUAGUGGCCACUGGACUUGCAGAGAAAAAUUCUUCAGCAGAAGAAGCACAGAAGGUCAGAGGUGCAAAUGAGCAGGCUCAAGUUUAUGGCAUUGACUGAUUCUGGACCAAGGGACAUUUGGUCUCCAUGCAGCUUCCAGUUAGCAGAAAUGAGUGAUAGGGGAAUGCCAUAGAUGAUAAUGGUAGUGGGUCUGAAACCUAUAGGUAACCAUCUGUAUUAUAACCAAUCUUUGUCUGGGCUGGGAAGAAUGCCAAGAGUGAAAAAUAAGAGGUGAAACUGUUUUCUGAAGAACAAAUGCCCACUCAUGAUGUGCUACCACAGGGAUGUUAAGCCAAGAGGUAUGAAAGCAAACAAGAUUAGACCUCUAAGUCCGGGGCAUCCUUCCCAGGAAAGGCUAGACCAUUUAUGCCAAUCUGUCAUCCUCUCAAACUGCACUCAUCCAUCUUCCCUUCAAAGAUGAAGAAGUGGCAACAUCUUCUCUAACUGGGGACGUCUUAUGUGGCCAGAAUUUCAAACAAAGUCCUAACUGAACAACAGUGACAACAGGGAGAUCAAUGGCAAUGUCAAUAUACAUUAUCAAAGGGACUGCUGUGAACCAUCUUGGCAUACUCUGAGUGGCCGCGUUGCAUCCUGUACAGCAUUACAAAAACAAACAGAAGAAAAAGAAAGAGAAAAAAAAAAAAGAACAAACCACCCAUUUUUAUGUUCUUUAAUUUGCAUUUUCUGCAUGAAAUAAGACCUUGAUCCUUGUCUUUUUUCACAAAAGCAGGUUCUGCUUUAACUAAUGUAAAAAAAAAAAAAAAAAAAAAAAGGAAAGAAAAUAAUGUUUCUAUAGCAAAGUGAUUUAG